GCGGCUGUAGUGUAGUGGCCUAGCACAUAAGCCUGCCACGUUUGUAACCCGGGUUCAAAUCCCGGCAGCCGCACCA
rnacentral:tRNA from 1 species